rnacentral:rRNA from 1 species
GACGAACGCUGGCGGCGUGCUUAACACAUGCAAGUCGAACGGAAGGGCCCUGCUUUUGUGGGGUGCCCGAGUGGCGAACGGGUGAGUAACACGUGAGUAACCUGCCCUUGACUUUGGGAUAACUUCAGGAAACUGGGGCUAAUACCGGAUAGGAGCUCCUGCUGCAUGGUGGGGGUUGGACAGUUUCGGCGGAUGGGGAUGGACGCGCGGCUUAUCAGCUUGUUGGUGGGGGAGUGGCUUACCAAGGCAUUGAUGGGUAGCCGGCCUGGGAGGGUGACCGGCCACAUUGGGCCUGGGAUACGGCCCAGACGCCUACGGGGGGCAGCAGUGGGGAAUAUUGCAAAAUGGGCGGAAGCCUGAAGCAGCAACGCCGCGUGCGGGAUGACGUCCUUCGGGUAGUAAACCGCUUUCGCCUGUGACGAAGCGUGAGGGACGGGAAUGGGGAAAGAAGCACCGGCUAACUACGU